rnacentral:lncRNA from 1 species
GUUCAAAUAGUCAUCUAUCCAGCUGUUCUGUGGGGUGCCAACAGAUGGAGAGAUUAUUUUUUCUUCUGUUCUGUAACACAGAGACAAUGACUUUUUUUUUUAAGCUCUCUUUAAUCAUUACAAAAAGAUAAUGGGAAAUCAUUUUAUUUCAACAAUGUUGUAAUUAAGAGAGGGACUGAUUCAUUAGGUCAUUAUGUUUUUGUGAGAAGCUGCUGCACCUGUUAUAUUAAGAUCCUCAUGCAAGACUCACUUUAAAUUUUCCUAUGUGAUUUUCUUGGCAAACCAGUUUAUUCAUGCAAGGCAUUUGUGAUUUAGCCAAUAAAACCACAGUUACAAUUACAUUUUGUGCAAAAGAUUUUCACAAAAGCUUUGCAACAUAGUAAAUCACAUCGUGACAGAAUCAUGACAUUAUGUGAGCAAAACAAUAUGACAGUAUAAAAACCACAUGGUUAAGAGAUGUACUUCAAUUAUCAGCACUGACAGCACAGAGUCAUUGUUCAUGACACUUUUGAAGUUGUUGGUGGAAAUUUUGUUCAUGCUGGAGAGGCUGUCUGAAUGUGGUCCAAACCUUCAGUCACAACAGAUUGAUACAGUUUCUUGGUUGCUGGACAGAACAUUUUGUCCCUGGUUAUGUCAUGGCUCUGCUCCCCUCAUGCUCCCUUUGCUCCUCCUCCUUCCCUGUAUGUCUGAUGUGGGUGCGGCCUCCCUUCACCUCACCUGUGUGCUGUGUCACCUGCUCUCAAUCUGUUCAUCAGUCUCAGCCCUCAAGAACCCCGGUCAUCCUUUCAUUCCUCGCCAGAUUGUUUCAGCCAACUUGGAACCCUCGUGUGCAGUUCAAUUUCCAGAGUCAGCUCUCCUGUGCCUCUGUGUCUCUGCACUCUAAAAAAUAAUGUACUGGGUCUACUCAAAAAGGAACCACUGGGGCUCUCUACAAGAGAUCCAAAAAGACAGUUCCCCCACUCAGUGUCUCGCAACCCACUCAGUUCCCUCUUACAUCGCGCCGAACCCCUCCAUUCAUUCAUCGAUCCGCCACCCGAUCUUCAUUCCUCCGACCUCCAUCCAUCCCUCAUCCCUCGUACCUACCUCCACCCCUCAUCCCCUGAACCUACCUUUAUCCCUCAUCACUUCAUCCCUAAUCCCUUCACCCCUCAUCCCUCAGUAUACCACAUUGGUUCACAUUUGUUCAUUACGUGCAAUAAACUUUUCUUAUUUCAUACAUUCGAUGGCGUGGUCAUUGUUAGUGAAAAUAAUAUAAACUAAAUAUUUAGAUUGAGAAAACAUUUUAAACAGCAAGAAAAAACAGAAGCUAGUAUAAAUAGCUUUUUUUUUAAAAAAUAGUCUGUUUUAUUUUGCAUAUCAAAACAUUUUUUUCUCUUUUAAAUUGAGAAAGCAUUUGAAAAUGUAAUGAAAAACUGAAAUUGUAGGUAUAAAUAGCCAAAAUAAAGGCCUAUGCAUCUAAAAUACGAUGUGUAAUGUAGGGCUACAGAGUAAAUAUGCAAGACUGGACACACUGAAAACCAGUCAUUUCAGUAAGACUCAGGGAAGUGCUCACAAGAUAGAUAUUUUAGUUGAGCCAGCUCAAUAUUGUGACUUGUUGAGCUGACGCAACAUUGUGCAUUCAAAUUACAUUUAAAAAUAAGUAAAGAUUUUUUUAAAAUUUUCGAGUUGGUUUGAUUUGCUGAAUUAAGUAGAUGUAGCAAACUUAAAUGUGUAUACUAGAAUUGCAUGUUUAUUUUAAGCUGGAAUUACUACCCCCUUGCAUGAUUUUUUAGAGUGCGGUCUCUCUUGCCAUUUCACCUGCCUGUUCCUGCCGUGGCCGCCCCUCAACCCCCCUGUGUGUGUGUGUGUGUGUGUGGAAUAAAGACCCCUAAACCGUCCAUCUUGUCUGUGUGUCUGCUCCUGGGUUCAGUCAACU